UACGGAGGGUGCGAGCGUUGUUCGGAAUCACUGGGCGUAAAGGGCGUGUAGGCGGUCUGUUAAGUCUGAUGUGAAAGCCCGGGGCUCACCCCCGGAAGUGCAUUGGAUACUGGCGGACUCGAGUCUCGGAGAGGAGGGUGGAAUUCCUGGUGUAGCGGUGAAAUGCGUAGAUAUCAGGAGGAACACCUGAGGGGAAGACGGGUUGCUGGGCUGACACUGACGCUGAGGCGCGAAAGCCAGGGGAGCAAACGGG
rnacentral:rRNA from 1 species